UCACACCUAAUGUCUACAUCAAGAAGAUGCAGCUGUGCACUCAGUCGAGGAAGAUGGCCUUCACCAAUAGAGGAGGACCAGUCUUUGGUCACAGGUAUAUGAGUAGUUGUGCUCUCCUGCUAGAACCUCCAAACAAGCUCUUGCUCUGAAUUUUAAUGUGAGCACUUAUUGCUAUUAAUU
rnacentral:sRNA from 1 species